UCCGCGAGAUUGAGGGGCGGAAGACGGAGUUGAGCCAAGCAAUUGUGAACAUGGAGCAAGGUGGUAGUGCUGAUGGUCUCCUUCAGGUCCGGGCUGACAGAAUACAAUCAGAUCUAGAGGAACUGAUGAAGGCUUUAACUGAACGUUGCAAUAAACAUGGGUUGGAGGUUAAGUCCAAGGCCCUAGUAGACCUUCCAGCUGGUUGGCAACCUGGAAUUCAAGAAGGGGCA